rnacentral:rRNA from 1 species
CCUACGGGCCGCAGCAGUGGGGAAUAUUGCACAAUGGGCGCAAGCCUGAUGCAGCCAUGCCGCGUGUAUGAAGAAGGCCUUCGGGUUGUAAAGUACUUUCAGCGGGGAGGAAGGUGUUGAGGUUAAUAACCUCAGCAAUUGACGUUACCCGCAGAAGAAGCACCGGCUAACUCCGUGCCAGCAGCCGCGGUAAUACGGAGGGUGCAAGCGUUAAUCGGAAUUACUGGGCGUAAAGCGCACGCAGGCGGUCUGUCAAGUCGGAUGUGAAAUCCCCGGGCUCAACCUGGGAACUGCAUUCGAAACUGGCAGGCUAGAGUCUUGUAGAGGGGGGUAGAAUUUCAGGUGUAGCGGUGAAAUGCGUAGAGAUCUGAAGGAAUACCAGUGGCGAAGGCGGCCCCCUGGACAAAGACUGACGCUCAGAUGCGAAAGCGUGGGGAGCAAACAGGAUUAGAUACCCUUGUAGUC